CUUGUAGUCUACACUGACAAAUAAUUGAUUGACAAAACAUAAACAAUCAUGCGAGAAUCAUCUUAACGCAUAGUAAUUUAUAUCAGUAUAACUGGCUUUCUUAAAAAAAAAAGAAGAUAAACAUUCACAUUGGUCUUACAAGGACCUAUUACUAGUAGUCUAAACAUUAACACAUCCAUCCAAUCUUCUUCUCCUUUCUCUCUCUCUCUCUCUCUCUUAUUUAUUAUUAUUAUUUUUUGUCUGUCAGCACCAAGUCAAUGAGAGAUGAUGGAGUAAUUAAUGUGAUCAAGAAAGCCAUCGAGAAGCUAGGCUUACGACACAAGGAACACAUUUCUGCAUAUGGAGAGGGCAAUGAAAGAAGAUUGACGGGUCGUCAUGAAACUGCAGAUAUCCUCACAUUUUCUUGGGUAAAGAUAUUGGCCGGAGCGGUGUUUGGUUCAAAAUAAUGUGAUAUAAGCUGCUAUUCAUGGUGGUCCGCACUUGGUGAACAACCCAAAAAUGAGCCCUUCACUAAUGAUAUUCCACAAUUUGAGGUCCCUAU